AGAGCACCCAGCAUAACUGUGGGAGAAUAGUAAGCAUUGGACACAAAAUGGUUUAGGCAAAUAAUGAUGAACAAAAAUGGUCAGUCUGUGUUCCUGCUGACCCAGCACAGUGGGGACGCUGUGUAGGACAUGACCUUUGGGGGAAAGGACACAAGAACUCAGCGUGGGGGAUCCAGAAAAGAAGUCGCACGUAUUGAAGCCAGUAACGCCAAGCCAGUGAAUUCUCCUUGACGAGAAAGACCCACUUACUCUGCAGAAGAGAUAUAUGACAGCUGACAAUCCCUGGAGGAGAAUCUUUCUACUAAAUUGAACUGAUCCGAGAGGACAGGGAAGUCAGUGUGGGCGGCUCUAAGGAGCCUCCCUCUCUACAGCUGCGGCUCAGAGGAUUACGGCGCUUCAUCCACAAGGCAACAUUGCACAAGUAGCUUUUGAACAAAAGUCAUGGAUACUAUUAAUGAUAUGGUAAUCCUUAAUCGAGCUACCUCCCAGUAGUGAUUAUACUGACAUGGGAAGAAUAUCUAAGUCGUGGAGGCAGCCCACAACAACACUGUGUCAUUGUUCACCCCGGGCUCGACCAGGACUAACUUUUACCAGCAUCUCUAACGUCACCUUUCCCCUGAUGCCUCCCCACAACCCCUGGCCCCAGCUCCCAUUCCCGCCCCAUCAUAGCAAAAAAGUAGCAAAGAAAACCCUGAUCCUAAAUCUUUUUCUGGAUUUUUUUUUGCAAGUUCCCACACACAUUUAGUGUCGUCUCAAAAUUCACGCUGUCAACUGUCUCUAGGAAUCAUUUCCAUCUGAGAACAGACCACACAAAGGUUUAGUGCAACUAGGGACUAAACACCAGUCAUCUCCAGGACUUGACUUCAUCAUUUGCCUGUUCACCAUUGUAUCCCUAGAAUCUGUAACAACAACCAGAAGGUACUCAAUAAAUAUUUAAUCAAUGAACAAA
rnacentral:lncRNA from 1 species